UAUUUAUUAAUAAAAGUUAUUUGAUUUUUUUCAUCACCAAGUGUACAUCUUUUUUUUGAACUCUUAUAUUGUGAUGAAGUCUUUAUAACUAUUUUGAUCGAUAAAAGAGGAUUUAUCAUUUAGCCCUUAAAUAUGUUCGUGACUAAAUGAUAUGCUAUUAAUAGGAUAAUAACUAUAUCAAGUGUAGGUUAAUGUGUACCAUAU
rnacentral:lncRNA from 1 species